AGUCAUGGAGGUUACAACAACAACCCAACGGCAAAACAAUUUAAAGCUGCAUAUAAAAGACUCUUAAUGCACACAAGUGUUACAGGAUCUACCCAGGUUAAUUGUAUAGAACAGACAUCUUCCAUAAUUUUAGCAAUGAGCACAACAAAUACUGUGAAAAUGAAAACAGAUGAUCAUCAACUCAUUGACAACUUUAUAACUAAUGAAAAUAAUAGGGAAACAAUAACUAGUAACCAUGAUUAUACUGUAAAUAAUUUAAGUUUUUCAAAAACAUUGUCAUCAUAAUAUGUUUUUUAUGUUGUUGACUAUAUCGCUGGGUUUGUAGUUAAGAAAGUUGAGAAAACAACCUUCUAAAGACGUCAUUCGUAUUUGCAAAAUUGCUGAAAGCGAAAUUAGAUUUAUGUACAAUUCAAAAAAAUUGAACGAUUCUAAAUUAAUGAGAAGAUAUGUACAUACAAAGAACAUAUGUUUGAUCAUGAUUUUGAAACAAACCAUUUGUUUAAUCUAAUAAAGAUAAUUUGUUUCCAUUAGAUUGCAACAUUGCAACAAGUUUCCAUUGCAACAUCAGAUUGUACCACGAAGGUGAAAAACUAAAUAAUGUAAUAAGAGUUAGAAGUAAUUUAACAAAAGCUAUUUUGUUUUGUGGUCAAUAAAUUAAUAGAUUUCCUACAUAUUUUUCACCUAACCUGAAACUUCCACCCAAAAGAAAAUUACUCUCCUUCAAAUGUAUUUUUGAUUAUCAAACAAGAAGAGAUAUACGAACGAUAUAAUAUGUACCCAUGAUACAAAGAAUACAGAAGAUAUAAUCAUGCGCAUGACGGUGAAGUGGGCGUGUUUAUAUGGUGUGACGUUGUGACGUAAGUGGAGAGUGAAAACAUAAGCUGGCUUUAAUUUAGCACGCUUAAUGCCGUAAGAAGGUGUCAUUUGCUUUUAUUUUGAAUGUUUUCUUGUGUUUUAAGAGGUUUAAAUAGUGUAAUUGUGUGUUUUUAAAACUUUCGAUUAUCGAACUAGUAUUUAUUAGUGAAGUGUAGGUUUACCAUUGAAUUUUUGUAAGCGAAAGAUACUCUUUUCGUUAUUUAAAGAUGAGGAUAGAUUAAGAAAACUGAAUAAAAACUUGCGAAAUCAGACAGUCAGCAAAAAAAGAAAAAUGUCAAAAAUAAUAUUGUAUUUUUUUUAAUAAAUAGACGUCUUUUUAUUUUUUAUAUUAGCUACAUAUUUAAAUUUACAAUCUGCUUCAUCGAAGCUAUAAGUAAAUAGUUUAAGUGAUAAAUACAUGAGGAAGAAGCUGCCCUAUGACAACCCUCCUAUUAAUUUUUUACAUUAGAUAGUCUCCUUCUUCUUCUAUUAGCUCUAUAACUCUGUGAGUUUUUGCUCUUUAACAAUGUUCUUCCAUUCUGCCCUGUCAGAUGUUUUCCUUCGCCACUGCCUAAUGUUCAAGGUUUUAAGAUCUUUCCCUAUGUUGUCUAUCCAUCUUUUAUAGGGUCUUCCUCUUGUUCUAUUUCCUUGGGCUUCCUUUUCUUGAUUACUUUUACAGAUCGAUUAUCUAGCAUUCUUUCCAAGUGACGAAACUAGUUUACUCUUUGUGACUUUACAAAUCUUACAAUAUCUGGGCUUUGCAUUAGUUUAUCUAGCUGGUAGUUCAUUUUAAUUCUCCAUGAACCAUCGUUGCAAUGGGUGGGCCCAAAUACAUUAGAUCAUAAAUUUAAUUGAUUAGGUCUGUUGGUCAGUUGCAAUCCGGGAGGAGCGUUUAGCAGUCUUUCUUCAUCAUUUGGAUGACUUCUCAGUCCAUCAAAGUAGUUCUUUGUGAUUCAUUGAAUUUCUUCCUCUACCAAAGGUGUAGCUGAAUCCUUGUGUAGGGUUUUAUUGCUUACAUACCAGGGCGCGUUGAAUAUAUCAUUCUCAAUAUUUUUGACUGGACUCUUUAUUUUAUCUUGAUAUUUGAUGGCUUUGAACAACCCCAGAGAACACCAUAGGUCCAAAUUAGUUGUAUCAUAGAUUUAUGCAGAUGCAGUUUAUAUUCAACGGCGAGUUUUGAUUUUUGACCCAUUUGUUUUCUUCGCUUAAAUAUUCUUGAAAAUUCAAUUUUUCCAAUUAAUAAUUUUGCAUUUAAAAAACAGCCAAAAGUACUAAAUACCUCAUUUGUUUUGAAGCACGAAAACAUAUAUUAUUAUAACAAGUGACCAUAUAAUUAUUGCAAAGACUUAAAAAAAAUGUUGUUACAUAUGUGACAAGGUUUUUGUUACAUAGGCUGAUUAUAUGUAUCAUUAUAAUCAGUGUUUUUACCCCUCAUAUUUUUGUGAAUUGUAUGGACUUAUUUUAAUAACGUAUGUAGGUACCAUUUAAAAAUAUUACGAUGUUUAAUUUCUAAUUUUAAAUGUCAAUAAAAUGUCAAUAUAUGUACAUGAUACAUAAAACUACUUUUAUUUAUUUGUAUUAUAAUCGAAAUAAAAUCAUGCUGUAUCCGCUAAUAAAAGAAGUUUUUAAUAAUCUCAGCAGACUUUUACAUUAAUUAGUUUUAAAUACCAAAGCCUUGAUUUAAUAUCACCAGUUCUGAAUGAACGAUGGGCUCCCUUGCUAUUUAGUUCCCGGCCCCAAAAAA
rnacentral:lncRNA from 1 species